rnacentral:piRNA from 1 species
UCAAAUGGAAUCUUUCAUAUC